GCGGCUGUGGCGUAAUUGGUAGCCGCGCCAGAUUUAGGAUCUGGUGCAGAAAUGCGUGCAGGUUCGAGUCCUGUCAGCCGCA
rnacentral:tRNA from 1 species